rnacentral:rRNA from 1 species
ACGAACGCUGGCGGCGUGCCUAAUCCAUUCAGGUAGAACCCUGAAGAGAGGAGCUUGCUCUUCUUGGAUGAGUUGCGAACGGGUGAGUAACGCGUAGGUAACCUGCCUUGUAGCGGGGGAUAACUAUUGGAAACGAUAGCUAAUACCGCCUAACAAUGGAUGACACAUGUAAUCUAUUUGAAAUGGGCACUUGCUCCACUAAAUGAUCGACUUGCGUUGUAUUAGCUAGUAGGUGAGGUAAUGGCUCACCUAGGCGACGAUACAUAGCCGACCUGAGAGGGUGAUCGGCCACACUGGGACUGAGACACGGCCCAGACUCCUACGGGGAGCAGCAGGAGGGAAGCUUCGGCAAUGGGGGCAACCCUGACCGAGCAACGCCGCGUGAGUGAAGAAGGUUGUCGGAUCGUAAAGCUCGGUUGUAAGUCAAGAACGGGUGUGAGAGUGGAAAGUUCACACUGUGACGGUAGCUUAACAGAAAGGCACGGCUAACUACGUG